GAUGAACGCUGGCGGCGUGCCUAAUACAUGCAAGUCGAGCGAACAGACGAGGAGCUUGCUCCUCUGACGUUAGCGGCGGGCGGGUGAGUAACACGUGGAUAACCUACCUAUAAGACUGGGAUAACUUCGGGAAACCGGAGCUAAUACCGGAUAAUAUAUUGAACCGCAUGGUUCAAUAGUGAAAGACGGUUUUGCUGUCACUUAUAGAUGGAUCCGCGCCGCAUUAGCUAGUUGGUAAGGUAACGGCUUACCAAGGCAACGAUGCGUAGCCGACCUGAGAGGGUGAUCGGCCACACUGGAACUGAGACACGGUCCAGACUCCUACGGGAGGCAGCAGUAGGGAAUCUUCCGCAAUGGGCGAAAGCCUGACGGAGCGACGCCGCGUGAGUGAUGAAGGUCUUCGGAUCGUAAAACUCUGUUAUUAGGGAAGAACAAAUGUGUAAGUAACUAUGCACGUCUUGACGGUACCUAAUCAGAAAGCCACGGCUAACUACGUG
rnacentral:rRNA from 1 species